AUGUUUGCUGAUUCUUUUUUAUUCCCCUUCCCCCAUCUAGGUGGCCUUAAGCUCUCCACAGCUCGGCUUGACCUCCAGGUGGCUAUUCGUAGAAGAAAUCGUUUUCCCAUUUGCUUGGGCCUCGCCUGCACUUCAGCUGCCAACGCCCACGUGGAAACCCAAAGCGCAGAAGCACCGCGGAGCGCGCCCCUCCAGCAGCGAGGUCCCCUCUCGAUCUCAGACGCCCAGAGGUCCGGAUGCCAGAGGAUCACACCUAGUCCACUUCCCCCAACCCCUCGCCCACCCCAUAGAGGGGGUCCCUGGUGCACUAGCUUGCAUGGGGGACCACAGAACAGUUUCUCCUGCAGGGAGAACCUGCAGCUUCUGGAACUCUGGUUUGGACAAGUGCCCCUUCUCUCUGCACCUCCCAGAGAGAAGGGCCAGGAGUCUGGGACAGAAAACUGAAUGCUUUCUGCCCACUGCUCCUUAGGUCCUUGGACCCAGCCAGCCCUGCAGCGGCUCUUGCAUCUACUCCUGUUAGCCCCAGGUUCCUAUAGGUCUUAGGUGGCUUUCCCACCCUGAGCUUCAGACAACUGCCUGAGCAGCCCACAUUCUACACUCACGACUUACCCAUCCCAGGGCUGGAGGACCCAGGGCAGUCAGUAUGGGAGGCCUGAGGACCUCCACAAGCUCAAGGCUUGCUUCUGCCUCAAGCCACCAACUGGAAGGUUUCCUUUUCUCGUGGAGGACCAAUUCCCCAACAUCCAGCAACCAAAGCCCAGGUAUACCUCUCCUCUCACCCUGGCAGAGAUAGUAUGAGUUUUUCCUUCACCAUUACUAUCCUGAAAUUUCCUUUCAUUACAAGCCCAUUUCUCGUUUAAUCUACCCAACAUUCCUUUAUAAGUCCUCGACGUGCCUUAGUGCCUUUUCUCCCACAGUGAUAAGGUAACCAGUGGUCUUGACUCAAAUGGGCCUGGCUGAGUGCAAAACACUAGACCGGCCAGUCCCUCCCUGGCCUUCAGGGAUGCCUCAACACCCAACAGUGCCUUAACUCUCUAUAAAGCAAUCCUUCACAAGCCUCCUGCCCCUUCUGGGAUCUAGGUAGGACCAGGGGCCCCUCAGAGAGGUUGCCCACUUGUCUUCAGAACCGAAAGGCUCAGAGCCCAAAUUUCUGGACUGCUCUCACUCUGCCUCAUCCAUGAUUUCCCAAGAGGGCAAAGAGAAACCCUAUCUGGAAAUCUGGGGACCCCACAUGAUCAGAGUAAUCACUGUUCUAAGCAUUUCAGCUACAUUAGCUUUUUCCACCUUCACAACAAUCCUGAAGAAUAUAAUAUAAAUCAUCCCUCUUUUGCAGCUGAGUGAUCUGAAAUGCAGAGAGAAGGCCCACAUAUAACUGACAGUCAAGACUGAACUCCUAUCCCUCUGGCCUCAAGUCCACACUCACAACAACUGGAGCUACUAGAAA
rnacentral:lncRNA from 12 species